UACGUAGGGAGCGAGCGUUAUCCGGAAUUAUUGGGCGUAAAGGGUGCGUAGAUGGCACAAAAAGUCUUGUGUAAAAAUGCUAGGCUCAACCUAGUAGAGCAAAAGAUACUUUUGAGCUAGAGUAUGGCAGAGGCAAGUGGAACUACAUGUGUAGCGGUAAAAUGCGUAAAUAUAUGUAAGAACACCAGUGGCGAAGGCGGCUUGCUGGGCCGAUACUGACAUUGAGGCACGAAAGCGUGGGGAGCAAACAGG
rnacentral:rRNA from 1 species